rnacentral:lncRNA from 8 species
AUGAAAUCUAUGCAGCCUACUCAAUCACUUUUUAUAGCUACUGUUUACAGGCCCCCUGGGCCAUAUGCAGCAUUCCUCACUGAGUUCCCUGAAUUCCUAUCGGACCUUGUAGUCAUCGCAGAUAAUAUUCUAAUUUUUGGUGACUUUAAUAUUCACAUGGAAAAGUCCACAGACCCACUCCAAAAGGCUUUCGGAGUCAUCAUCGACUCAGUGGGUUUUGUCCAACAUGUCUCUGGACCUACUCACUGCCACAGUCAUACUCUGGACCUAGUUUUGUCCCAUGGAAUAAAUGUUGUGGAUCUUAAUGUUUUUCCUCAUAAUCCUGGACUAUCGGACCACCAUUUUAUUACGUUCGCAAUCGCAACAAAUAAUCUGCUCAGACCCCAACCAAGAAGCAUUAAAAGUCGUGCUAUAAACUCUCAGACAACCCAAAGAUUCCUUGAUGCCCUUCCAGACUCCCUCUGCCUACCCAAGGACGUCAGAGGACAAAAAUCAGUUAACCACCUAACCGAGGAACUCAAUUUAACCUUGCGCAAUACCCUAGAUGCAGUUGCACCCCUAAAAAUUAAAAACAUUUGUCAGAAGAAACUAGCUCCCUGGUAUACAGAAAAUACACGAGCUCUGAAGCAAGCUUCCAGAAAAUUGGAACGGAAAUGGCGCCACACCAAACUGGAAGUCUUCCGACUAGCUUGGAAAGACAGUACCGUGCAGUAUCGAAGAGCCCUCACUGCUGCUCGAUCAUCCUAUUUUUCCAACUUAAUUGAGGAAAAUAAGAACAAUCCGAAAUUUAUUUUUGAUACUGUCGCAAAGUUAACUAAAAAGCAGCAUUCCCCAAGAGAGGAUUGCUCUCACUUCAGCAGUGAUGAAUUCAUGAACUUCUUUGAGGAAAAGAUCAUGAUCAUUAGAAAGCAAAUUACGGACUCCUCUUUAAAUCUGCGUAUUCCUCCAAAGCUCUGUUGUCCUGAGUCUGCACAACCCUGCCAGGACCUAGGAUCAAGGGAGACACUAAAGUGUUUUAGUACUAUAUCUCUUGACACAAUGAUGAAAAUAAUCAUGGCCUCUAAACCUUCAAGCUGCAUACUGGACCCUAUUCCAACUAAACUACUGAAAGAGCUGCUUUCUGUGCUUGGCCCUCCUAUGUUGAACAUAAUAAACGGCUCUCUAUCCACCGGAUGUGUACCAAACUCACUAAAAGUGGCAGUAAUAAAGCCUCUCUUGAAAAAGCCAAAUCUUGACCCAGAAAUUAUAAAAAACUAA